UGGCAGGUUAAGUUACAGCUGAGCUGUUUAGUGCUGUGCUGUCGUUCCCCCUGCAGAUAUUGAGUUGUUUCAUACUAUCCCUGACUGCUUUCUUCAUCCAGCUGGCAGGGACGCUUGGGCACAUACAU
ensembl:snoRNA SNORA63 Small nucleolar RNA SNORA63